rnacentral:rRNA from 1 species
UACGUAGGGUGCAAGCGUUGUCCGGAAUUAUUGGGCGUAAAGAACUCGUAGGCGGUCUGUCGCGUCGGAUGUGAAAACCCGGGGCUUAACCCCGGGCCUGCAUUCGAUACGGGCAGACUCGAGUGUGGUAGGGGAGACUGGAACUCCUGGCGUAGCGGUGAAAUGCGCAGAUAUCAGGAAGAACACCGGUGGCGAAGGCGGCUCUCUGGUACGUGACUGACGCUGAGACGCGAAAGCGUGGGGAGCGAACAGG